rfam:Citrus clementina cultivar Clemenules unplaced genomic scaffold scaffold_6, whole genome shotgun sequence.
UUUUGGCAAGAAUGAUGAUUCAAUUAGAUGCGUGAAGGGAGAAAAUCUCUUUUGAACUCAAAACUUUUGAGGCAUAUUAUUAGUCUGACUUGCUUUCA